UUUUUUAAGCAAGAUUUUGCAGUCAGAAUCUUGUGACCUUGGGAAAGCACCUAAUCUUUCCAGGCUUCGUUUUCCUCAUCUCUCAAAUGCAGACAGUAAUACCUAACUCAGAGACUUCAGGUAUCAGAAACAGUACUGAAAUUGACACAAGGACAAAGAGAAUAUACUGAUUCAAGAUCGCCUUCUCUACCUUGCUUUGUGCCCGAGAAGGCAGAAGCUGACCUAUAUGAACUGUACAAUGAGCUUCCUUGCUCUCUGGAUUCCCGUUGUUCCAGCCAAUGGGGAGCAUCCCAAGAUC